rnacentral:rRNA from 1 species
UACGUAGGUGGCAAGCGUUGUUCGGAAUUAUUGGGCGUAAAGGGCGCGUAGGCGGUUUGUUAAGUCGGUUGUGAAAGCCCGGGGCUCAACCCCGGAGGGUCAACCGAUACUGGCAGGCUAGAGUACAGAAGAGGUAGCUGGAAUUCCCGGUGUAGCGGUGAAAUGCGUAGAGAUCGGAAAGAACACCAACGGCGAAAGCACUCUGCUGGGCCGACACUGACGCUGAUGCGCGAAAGCCAGGGGAGCGAACGGG